UUCCUGCAGUCAGCAUGCCAAUUGCACGCUCCCUCAAAACUUGAGACAUCUGUGGCAUUGUGUUGUGUGACAAACGGCACAUUUUAGUGUCCUUUUUAUUGUCCCCAGCACAAGGUGCACCUUUUUUAAUGAUCCUGCCAUUUUAAUCAGCUUCCUGACAUGCUACACCAGUCCGGUGGAUGGAUUGUCUUGGCUAAGGAGAAGGGCUCACAAACUGGGACGUAAACAAAUUUGAGAGAAAUAAGCUUUUUGUGCGUAUGGAGCAAUUCUGGGAUCUUUUAUUUCAGCUCAUGAAACGUGGGACCAACACUUUACAUGUUGCAUGUUAUAUUUUUGUUCUGUAAAGAACUGGUACUCUAAUCAUUGUUUUGCUGUUAUAACACCGACGUUGUGUAGCAGUAGUUGGCGACUAAUUUAUUUUAAAUUUCAUUUCACCUGGUUAACCAAAGACAUUUUCAUAUUUGACCUUAAUGCUUUAUGGUGUGUCUUAUUGAAACUGAUAUGAAAAGGUUAUUUUUUGGAGAUGACGCGAUGGAGAACCAUUGAAGAUUCAUCCGAGGUCCAUGUUUUUAAAGAUGUGAUGUCACUGGUCUGAGAGAUGAUUCAUCCGAGGUCCAUGUUUUUAAAGAUGUGAGUGAUGUCACUGAUCUGAGAGAUGAAUCAUCCGAGGUCCAUGUUUUUAAAGAUGUGAGAGAUGAUUCAUCUAAGGUCCAUGUUUUUAAAGAUGUCACCAUUUCUAAAGUCUUACAUUUCCUCUAGCUCUACUGGAAUCUGAGUUUGAGUCUUACUCAAACAAGAGAGGUGUGUGUGUGUGUGUGUGUGUGUAGUGUGUGUGAGAGAGAAUACCCCCGUCAAUGUUAUCAAUAUUGCCUAACUGAAAGGUUAUCUAGAAGUUGUUUUAUUUCCUUGCUUGUGUGUUUCUACAGAUACAAGUAUGAUGAUCCGUAAUUUAUAAAGAACCAAGAUCAUGUUGUGUACUGCCAAUUACCACAAGUCACUUUGGAUAGUAGGGGAAAUGAAUGUCCUUAAUAAUAAUAAUAAUGCUUAGUAAUGUGAGGUUGGUUCUAACUUUUAUCUAUCGCUUUCCGUCUGUCUUUAUUUAGUCUUUUUUUGUAGCAGCACACAGCAUGGAUGAUUUUAUUGUUCAGUUGUAUUUUGUUGACCGUCAGAUGUAGAGACCUAAAAGACGCAUGAAACUGCUGCCUUAGAGAAAUCAGCUUUUAUAGGAAUAAAUGUUUUUCAAACAA